rnacentral:rRNA from 1 species
GCUUUAUAUAAUUAAUAUUUAAAUUAUUAAGAUUUUUAAAAUUUAAUUAUUAAAUUAUAUUUUGUUGGGGUGACAAUAAAAUUAAUAAAACUUUUAUUUUUAAUUAACAUUGAUUUAUGAGUAAAUGAUCCAGUUUUAUUGAUUAUAAAUUUAAGU